rnacentral:misc_RNA from 1 species
AAGACUAUAGACCUGCGGAGUACCUGCGGAGGGAUCAUUACUGAAGUGAUUUGGGGAUGUUGCUGGCCCUCUCUCAAGGGGGGGCACUGUGCACUCCUCGAAACAAUUCACAAUUUCCAUCACACCCCUUGUGCACACCUUGUAGGCACCCAAACCCACCUCCGGGUGGUGGGGUCCUAUGUAUUCCUUCAUCUCACACUCUGUUGAAUGGUGCCAUGGGACGCAUCUAAAGGAUUAUUU